UCUUGUUCAGCUUCAUAGAGGUUUUCCUUGGCACCACAAGUACAAUUACAGCUGCACUGGGAUCUCUUUCUCAAAGUAGUCAAUUCCUCCCAAAGCUUUUUCAGUUUAGUGUAGUAGUUGUUGAUAUCAAGGGUCCCCUAGUAUGUAUCAUUGAUUUACUUCUGAACUUGAUACAAUCUAGCUCCAUAUUUUUGCUCGAAUCGAUCCUCUAACUCAACCCAUAACUCCUCAACAUCAUUAGUGUAUUCAUCACUAUCCGCGAUUUCUUUCAAGAGAGAAUUGAGAAUCUAGUAGGUUACCAUAUCAUCACAUCUCUCCUACUGACCGAAUCAGGGCGAGUGGGGAUCUGAGCGCUUGCAUUCACC
rnacentral:lncRNA from 1 species